CGUAGGGUGCGAGCGUUAAUCGGAAUUACUGGGCGUAAAGCGUGCGCAGGCGGUUUUGUAAGCCAGAUGUGAAAUCCCCGGGCUUAACCUGGGAAUGGCAUUUGGGACUGCAAGGCUUGAGUUUGGCAGAGGAGACUGGAAUUCCCGGUGUAGCAGUGAAAUGCGUAGAUAUCGGGAGGAAUACCGAUGGCGAAGGCAGGUCUCUGGGCUAUAACUGACGCUCAUGCACGAAAGCGUGGGGAGCAAACAGGAUUAGAUACCCUGGUAGUCCACGCCCUAAACGAUGUCGACUGGUUGUUGGGGGUUUGACACUCUCAGUAACAAAGCUAACGCGUGAAGUCGACCGCCUGGGGAGUACGGCCGCAAGGUUA
rnacentral:rRNA from 1 species